rnacentral:rRNA from 1 species
CCUACGGGUGGCAGCAGUGGGGAAUAUUGGACAAUGGGGGCAACCCUGAUCGAGCCAUGCCGCGUGUGUGAAGAAGGCCCUCGGGUUGUAAAGCACUUUCAGUGAGGAAGAACGCCUGGUGGUUAAUACCCAUCAGGAAAGACAUCACUCACAGAAGAAGCACCGGCUAACUCCGUGCCAGCAGCCGCGGUAAUACGGAGGGUGCGAGCGUUAAUCGGAAUUACUGGGCGUAAAGCGCGCGUAGGUGGCUUGAUAAGCCGGUUGUGAAAGCCCCGGGCUCAACCUGGGAACGGCAUCCGGAACUGUCAAGCUAGAGUGCAGGAGAGGAAGGUAGAAUUCCCGGUGUAGCGGUGAAAUGCGUAGAGAUCGGGAGGAAUACCAGUGGCGAAGGCGGCCUUCUGGACUGACACUGACACUGAGGUGCGAAAGCGUGGGUAGCAAACAGGAUUAGAUACCCUAGUAGUC